rnacentral:sRNA from 1 species
CACACCGGUCCGAAGUCAGUGGGUUAUCAGAAUUUGAAACCCUCCCAUUGACACCAACUUGACCGAUAGU